rnacentral:rRNA from 1 species
UGUAUGUUGGGUUAGUCCGCACGAGCGCACCCUAUCCUUAUUUGCCAGCGAGUCAUGUCGGGAACUUUAAGGAGACUGCCGGUGAUAAACCGGAGGAAGGUGGGGACGACGUCAAGUCAUCAUGGCCCUUACGGGAUGGGCUACACACGUGCUACAAUGGCAUAUACAGAGUGCAGCGAGACCGCGAGGUGGAGCGAAUCACACAAAGUAUGUCGUAGUCCGGAUCGGAGUCUGCAACUCGACUCCGUGAAGUCGGAAUCGCUAGUAAUCGUAGAUCAGAAUGCUACGGUGAAUACGUUCCCGGGCCUUGUACACACCGCCCGUCACACCAUGGGAGUGGGAUGCAAAAGAAGUGGCUAGUUUAACCUUCGGGAGGACGGUCACCACUUUGUGUUUCAUGACUGGGGUGAAGUCGUAACAAGGUAACCCUAGGGGAACCUGGGGUUGGAUCACCUCCUU